AGACUGUACAAGAAGCAUGACACCAGCAUCUGGUUUUGAUGAGAAUUUGAGGCUGCUUCCACUCAUGGUGAAAGGCAAAAUGGAGCCAGCAUGUGGAAAGAUCAUAUUGCAAAAGAGGAAGCAAGAGAGAGGAGGAGAGACUCUAUUAAGGAUAUAUUUUCAAAAAGCAAAACAGCCUCACACAACAAAAUGAAUAAGAGAGAGCCAUGGGGGAUUUUAAUGCACGUGUAGAAUUCAGAAGGUGGAAAGAGUAAUGUCAAGUGAUGAAGUAGGGGGAGAAAGACACCACCUGGAAAAGUGGGAACUUCAAGCUUGAAUGUGAGCAGGACACUGCAGCAUAGGAAGUAGCUGACCUGCCUGGAAAAAUCAAGAAAGGCUCUGGAUUCAAAAAGGAGGGGGGAAAAAGAUGUCUUCAAAACUUUAACCAUCAAGGAACUCAAGAAACUGAUGAGCAGAUGUAUGGUCUAGGCAAGGCUUCCAGGACUCCACAAACCACACCACACAGGGACAACAGGAAACAGAGCUUUCUACUCUCUUACAGAAAUCUGCCUCUCCUUUCCUUCCCACUGGAGGCCUCUUGUUGGUUGGAGCCCAUGCUGAGUGGCCAUUGUGUAUAUUCCAGAAGCAGUAACAGCAGCAUCUGUGUAGUGCCCGGCAGGUAUCAGACUUUCCCUCAUGUGGAAGGGGCAUUGGACAACUUGUCUUAUCAUAACAUAUUACUCACAUCCAAGUUUUUUUCAGAAUUCACUAUUAAUGCAUAUAAUUUCUGAGCUGCAGUGAAAUGUGCCUUCCUUAUAGAAGCAGUAGGAGAGAAGCCAGGCAGUAGUCCCCCAUUACCCACGGGGGAUACAUUUCAAGACACCCCAGUGGAUGCUUGAAACAGUUGGUAGUACCAAACCCUUAUAUAUACUGUUUUUUCCUAUACACACAUACCUAUGAUCAAGUUCAAUUUAUAAAUUAAGCAUAGUACUCUUGUGCUUUGGGGCCAUGAUUAAGUAAAAUAAGGGUGACUUGAACACAAGCACUGCUAUACUGCACAAUCAGUCUGAUAACCAAGAUGGCUGCUAAGUGGCUAAUGGGCAGGUAGUGUAUGUAGUGUGGAUAUACUGGACAAAGGGGUGAUUCAUGCCCAGAGAGGAUGAAGCAGGAUGGAAUGAGAUUUCAUCACACUACUCAAAAUGGCACGCAAUUUAAAACUUAUGAAUUAUUUAUCUCUGGAAUUUUCCAUUUCAUAUUUUUGGGCCACAGUUGACUUCGGGCAAUUGAAACCACAGAAAGUGAAACCACAGAUAAGGUGAGGACUACUGUACGUGGAGCCCAACCACAGACUUGCCGGGCUUCCAGGAGGAAGUGGAAUCUCCAUACCAGGGAAAGCCCCCUGCUUCCUUCUCCAGGGAAGACUCAGAGAAGUUUUUUGUUAUACAAGGAGAUUCAGAGAAGUUUUUCACGUAGACAAUAUUCUCUUGGUCUCCAAGCCCUGUGCAACCCACUCCAUGGGCCUGGAAUCUUCUUCCCAUGGUCCCUUUGAAUCCAGAUUCAAUUUAGGUGCGUGUACACCCAGACCCCCGCCUUGACUGUCUCCAGUCUGGUUAGGGUGCCUACAGUGAACACUCAUAGAAGCUACACUAAUGAUAUUUAAUACUCUGUCUGGGAAGGACCUGAAUUGCCUUCUUUUUCUACCAAAACAGCAAGAUUCUUGAAGACAUGAUCCAUGCCAUAUUGUUUUUUGUUUUGAGACAGGGUCUUGCUCUGUCACCCAGGCUGGAGUGCAGUGGCAACAUCCUAGCUUACUGCAACCUAGAACUCCUGGGCUCAAGUGAUCCUACUUCCUCAGCCUCCAAAAGUGCGGGGAUUGCAGGUGUGAGCUACCAUGCCCAGCUUAUUGUUUUCUCUUCAGAGCCUAGCAUGGGCCUGGCACUAAAUAAGUGGUUUAUAGGUGAGAGAAUGAAUGAAUGGCCACAUAGGAAGUAAGGACCUGAUCUCUUCAGACUCUGAAAAUGAGGGAGAAAAAGGAAAAAGAAGAUAAUAAUUCCACAACUGUUUUUCCAGAGUUGAAAAAGAGGUGGUUUUAUUAGGUUUUCUACAUUAAGAUCAACCCUCAACUCAUCUAUUCUAUCCUAUCCCACAUGAUUAUUGGGCAAUGAAGCCAUUUUAUGACAUUUUCCAAAAAGGAAUGGGUGAACCACUCAGCUGAGGGCAGGAGGCCAGGAUUUUAUUCACAGAAAUGUGGGUGAGAUAAAGUUUUAUUAAAUAGUAGUAUAAGUGGGUAAAACCCACUUUAUUAUUAUUUCAUGGCAGUUUCUGGCUUU